CUCUUUAUCUUCUUCUCCUCUUUAUCGUCCACUUCCUCCAAUGCUGCCCAUGAGCCAUCUCUCUCCACGAUGGUUUUCUUUACCUCCAUCUAUUCCUCACUGAUGGUCUUUUUCUCUCCCUCCUUUUUCAUCUAUUUUUCUUCCUCAUCCUCCUCCUCUAAGUCCACCCAUAAGCCCUCCCCCUCCAUGAUGAUUUUCUUCACCUCUGCACCUUCUUGCUGAUAACCCAUCCUUCCCUCUCUCCUUUCUUC
rnacentral:lncRNA from 1 species